rfam:Hymenolepis nana genome assembly, scaffold: HNAJ_scaffold0002652
GGGGUGCACAAUAGACUUACCUCCACGUGGUGCACCCUGGGCAACGUAUACUCAUCAGACGGCAAAAAAGUCUAU